rnacentral:rRNA from 1 species
CCUACGGUGUGCAGCAGUGAGGAAUAUUGGUCAAUGGCCGGAAGGCUGAACCAGCCAAGCCGCGGGAAGGACGAAGGUGCCAAGCAUUGUAAACUUCUUUUGUCAAGGGACAAAAUCAGGCUCGAGAGCCUGACCGAGGGUACUUGAAGAAAAAGCAGCGGCUAACACCGUGCCAGCAGCCGCGGUAAUAGGGAGGAUGCGAGCGUGAUCCGGUUUUAUGGGGUUUAAAGGGUGCGUAGGCGGGCUGUUAAGUCAGCGGUAACAGCCCGGGGCUCAACCCCGGCGAGCCGUUGAAACUGGCUGUCUUGAGAUGUCGAGAGGUAUGCGGAAUGCGCAGUGUAGCGGUGAAAUGCUUAGAUAUUGCGCAGAACUCCGAUUGCGAAGGCAGCAUACCGGCGGCGAUCUGACGCUGAGGCACGAAAGCGUGGGUAUCGAACAGGAUUAGAUACCCGAGUAGUC